rnacentral:lncRNA from 1 species
CUCAAAUUCAUUGAUUCAAAUAAUGUUCCAGUUCUCAGCACGAACUGUAUAUAGUGUUUAUAAUCCCCUUUUUCCUUCAUUUUCAGGCUUUCAUCUGGCAGAUUGUGGUUCAUGUGCUGAACAGCAACAGCGAUUGUUGAGGUCGAAGUACUGCACCUCUCUCACAUUUCCAGAGUACCUGGCAGGUUUAUUACAUGCAAGAUAGCUGCUGUGGGACCUGAUCAUUGACACAGCGAGAAUCUCUGAAAGAAGUACCAGAUGUGCAGAUAGCAAGACGUUACUGUGAAGAAGAAUACCCCAUUAUAGUCCAUAUCAUAAGGUAAUGAGCAACAGCAAAUGAAAUCUGAAAUUAUUUGAUGCUUUCAGAGGUUUUGCCAUGUUGCACUUUGCCUUAUAGCCACUUUCCCUUUUUUUGAGGUAAGAAUACUUGUCCCGGCAUUAGAAAAACAAAUUACCAAGAAUCUCAUUCUUUAUUAACGUAUAAUGGAAGGGAAGGGCAUUUGUGAGGGUUUGUUAUCCCAGUAUUCAGCUUAUCCUCAAUUCUGUAAAUGGCAUUUCUGAGUUGACAGGCACAUAU